rnacentral:rRNA from 1 species
ACCUACGGGGGACAGCAGUGGGGAAUAUUGCACAAUGGGCGAAAGCCUGAUGCAGCAACGCCGCGUGAAGGAAGAAGGCUUUCGGGUUGUAAACUUCUUUUCUCAGGGACGAAGCAAGUGACGGUACCUGAGGAAUAAGCCACGGCUAACUACGUGCCAGCAGCCGCGGUAAUACGUAGGUGGCAAGCGUUAUCCGGAUUUACUGGGUGUAAAGGGCGUGUAGGCGGGAAAGCAAGUCAGAUGUGAAAACCACGGGCUCAACCUGUGGCCUGCAUUUGAAACUGUUUUUCUUGAGUACUGGAGAG